GACGAACGCUGGCGGCGUGCUUAACACAUGCAAGUCGAGCGGUAAGGCCCUUUCGGGGGUACACGAGCGGCGAACGGGUGAGUAACACGUGGGUGACCUGCCCUCAGCUCUGGGAUAAGCCUGGGAAACCGGGUCUAAUACUGGAUAUGACUCCAUGACGCAUGUUGUGGGGUGGAAAGCCUUGUGCGGCUGAGGAUGGGCCCGCGGCCUAUCAGCUUGUUGGUGGGGUGANGGCCUACCAAGGCGACGACGGGUAGCCGGCCUGAGAGGGCGACCGGCCACACUGGGACUGAGACACGGCCCAGACUCCUACGGGAGGCAGCAGUGGGGAAUAUUGGACAAUGGGGGAAACCCUGAUCCAGCGACGCCGCGUGGGUGAAGAAGGCCUGCGGGUUGUAAAGCCCUUUUCAGUGGGGAAGAAAAGCCUCGACCUAACACGUCGGGGUCUUGACGUAACCCCAUAGAAGAAGCACCGGCUAACUCUGUGCCA
rnacentral:rRNA from 1 species